rfam:Pteropus alecto contig100946, whole genome shotgun sequence.
GUGCUUGCUUCAACAGCGCAUAUAUUAAAAUUGGAAUGAUACAGAGAAUAGCAUGAUCCCUGCAGAAAGAUGACAUACAAAUUCAUGAAGCAGUUUAAAAAAAA